UUAUAUAAUGCAGUGUGUUUGUGUAGUGUGUGUGUAUAUAAUGCACACUACACAAACACACUGCAUUAUAUAAAC